CGAAGAUGGUCCAGGCGAGACCUUGAAGCCCAGGGAGGAGGGGCGACGGGUUUGCUGAGUUGCUUCCUUUGCAGAGAUCAUUUCUUUUCCAGCAGGUGCUGCCUUGCCUUAAGCUCCACGACUGUCUUGUGGGAACGAUGUUGGUUGUGGCCGUUUGGAGGUGUCGAACACCACCAGGGAAGGAGUCAGGAAGUCUCUGAGGAUGCCUGUGAUUUGAGCUCCUGGGAAGCACUCUUCUAUUUGUCUCUGAAUUUAACUACUAGUUACCUCAUGUCUCAGCUUGCCUGUCACCUGGCUAUCCAAGGCUGAGGACUUCAUACUUCUUUUGGGGAGGAGGCAUUAGCUGGUUAACUCUGCACUUCCAAUUCCCACUUGUCUUGCUGGAAGUUCUUGGACUCCCCAUUUGGAAAAUUCCCUCCUCCCAGAUAGUUAGUUUGUGUAACUGACACCCCUCCCCCCAGCUCAACGCUUGGUUCUGAUUGUUUAAGCCAAUCAUCAGAUCUCAUUCUACCUGUUACUGCCAUCAGUGCAAGGA